rnacentral:rRNA from 1 species
AACGAACGCUGGCGGCACGCUUAACACAUGCAAGUCGAACGAACAAUCCUAGCUUGCUAGGUGCGUUAGUGGCAGACGGGUGAGUAACACGUGGGUAUCUACCUUAUAGUACGGAAUAGCUGUUGGAAACGACAAUUAAUACCGUAUACGCCCUGAGGGGGAAAGAUUUAUCGCUAUAAGAUGAGCCCGCGUUAGAUUAGUUUGUUGGUGGGGUAAUGGCCUACCAAGACUACGAUCUAUAGCUGGUUUGAGGAGAUGAUCAGCCACACCGGGACUGAGACACGGCCCGG